rnacentral:rRNA from 1 species
GACGAACGCUGGCGGCGUGCUUAACACAUGCAAGUCGAACGGUGAAGCGCCUUCCUUUUUGGUGGGUGUGGAUGAGUGGCGAACGGGUGAGUAACACGUGAGUAACCUGCCCCCUUCUUCUGGAUAACCGCAUGUAAGUGUGGCUAAUACGGGAUAUUCUGGGCCUGUCGCCUGAUGGGUCUGGGAGAGCUAUUGUUUCGGUGGGGGAUGGGCUCGCGGCAGGUCAGCUAGUUGGUGGGGUGAUGGCCUACCAAGGCGGCGGUGAGUAGCCGCCCUGAGAGGAUGGUGGGCCAUCACGCUGGUGCUGAACGGCGGAGAAGACUACUGGGGGAGGCAGCGGGGGAUAAUGUUGAACGGGGGGAGGCCGGAUGAAGCAGCGACGCCGCGUGGGUGAAGGACGUCUUGGUGUUGAGAACCUCUUUCGCGAAUGAAAAAGGCUUGUUUCAUUUGGGAGUGUCUUGACGGUAGCUGAAGAAUAAGCGCCGGCUAACUACGUG